UACGAAGGGGGCUAGCGUUGUUCGGAAUUACUGGGCGUAAAGCGCGCGCAGGCGGCUAUUCAAGUCAGUGGUGAAAGCCCGGAGCUCAACUCCGGAACUGCCAUUGAAACUGUUUAGCUUGAGUAUGAGAGAGGUGAGUGGAAUUCCCAGUGUAGAGGUGAAAUUCGUAGAUAUUGGGAAGAACACCGGUGGCGAAGGCGGCUCACUGGCUCAUUACUGACGCUCAGGCGCGACAGCGUGGGGAUCAAACAGG
rnacentral:rRNA from 1 species